GAUGAACGCUGGCGGCGUGCCUAACACAUGCAAGUCGAACGGAGUUAUUAUUAUGAAGUUUUCGGAUGGAUUGAUAGUAACUUAGUGGCGGACGGGUGAGUAACGCGUGGGUAACCUGCCUCAUCCAGGGGGAUAACAGCUGGAAACGGCUGCUAAAACCGCAUAACAUUGCACUGCCGCAUGACAGACCAAUUAAAUAUUUAUAGAUAUGAGAUGGGACCUAGUCUGAUUAGUUAGUUGGUAAGGUAAAGGCUUACAAAGGCGACGAUCAGUAGCCGGCUUGAGAGAGCGACCGGCCACAUUGGGACUGAGACACGGCCCAAACUCCUACGGGAGGCAACAGUGGGGAAUAUUGCACAAUGGGGGAAACCCUGAUGCAGCGACGCCGCGUGAGUGAAGAAGUAUUUCGGUAUGUAAAGCUCUAUCAGCAGGGAAGAAAAUGACGGUACCUGACUAAGAAGCCCUGGCUAUCUACGUGCCAGCCGCCGCCGUAA
rnacentral:rRNA from 1 species